rnacentral:lncRNA from 1 species
UAAAAUUUCGUAUAUUAUUCUAUUCAAAAUUAUUUUCAUAUAUGGUACACUCCUACAUAUGCAGCAAAUUUUUCAUGUUCUAAUAUUUUCACAGAUUCAGUCAAUGGCUUGUGGGUAACUAUGAGAGAAUACUACUGCUAUAAAUUCCAUACACGACCAAACAUAUUCAACCCAAUAUUGCACGGCGGACGGCUUUUCCAGCAAUUUGCAGUAGAUACAUAUAUCAGGAUUGAAAGCUCCAGACUGGAUUACAUGUGGCAUCAUCAAAAGGAAAUAAGAGCAGAUCUAUACCAAGGCCUUCUGGACAGCAUUCAAGCUGGAGAAAAAAAGGGAAAUGCAGUCAGAAAACGAAGAGUACUUGCAUCAUCAUUUAUUGGAGGGCCACGAGAUAGACUUCGCCGAUAUCUAGAUGCCAUCGCUUUAGUUAGAAAAUAUGGAAAGCCAGACAUAUUUCUCACAAUGACCUGCAACCCCAAUUGGGAAAACAUAACACGUGAACUACAGUUUGGACAAACACCACAAGAUCGCCCAGAUAUUGCAGUUCGUGUUUUUAGGGCGAAGCUAGAAGAAAUGAAGAAGCAACUAUUUAAGAAGAACAUUCUUGGAAAGGUCCAGGCAUAUACAUAUGUCAUAGAGUUCCAAAAGAGGGGACUACCCCAUGCUCACUUUUUACUGAUCAUGACCGGAAAAUAUAAGUACACAUGUCCAGAACAGUAUGACAGAAUCAUCUCCGCUGAGCUCCCUAACAAGCACAAAUACUCAGAGUUGUACAAAAUGGUAAUCAAACAUAUGAUGCAUGAUCCUUGUGGUGCAUUGAAUAAAUUAUGUCCAUGCACAAAGAAUCUUCCGUCAUGCAAGAACAAUUAUCCAAAGCCAUUUAAUGUAACUACAAUUCAAGGCAAGGACUCCUACCCAAUAUAUAGGAGACGCAAUGACGGUUGGACUGAAACGGUCAUGAAUUGCAAACUAGAUAAUAGGUGGGUGGUUCCUUACAACCCCUAUCUGUUAAGGAUGUUCAACUGCCACAUAAAUGUUGAGAUAUGCUCAAGCAUUAAAGCUGUUAAGUACCUAUUCAAGUACAUCUACAAGGGUCAUGACCGAGCAUCUGUAUCUGUAACUGACAACGUAGACGAAGCCAAAAUCGACGAGAUUCAACAAUACAGAGACGCACGUUGGGUGACACCACCAGAAGCACUAUGGAGAAUAUAUGGCUUCAAACUAAGCAAAAUGCACCCACCGGUCUUCCAACUGCAGCUACAUCUCCCAAAUAUGCACAUGGUUCCAUACCAUGGCAAAGAAAAAAAUAAAGAAUGUUAUCAACCGUGAAGGAACAGAAAUAUCAAUGUUGACAGCAUACUUUCAAGCAAACAACUUACAUGAGAAAGCACGAGGUAUACUAUACAGAGACUUUCCAGAAUAUUAUACUUGGCAAACACAAGGGAAGUUCUGGCAAGAGAGGGAACGAGCCGCUUUGUUCCAGGUUGGCAGGAUCGUCUCAGCACAUCCAGCUGAAGGAGAACGAUAUUAUCUUCGAGUUCUCCUAAACCACGUGACAGGCGCCACCAGCUAUGAAGACCUACGAACAGUCGAUGGACAGCUAAUGCCAACCUUCCGUGAAGCUGCAGAAAAACGGGGGCUCAUUGAGGCAGACAACACAUUGGAUGACUGCAUGACAGAAGCGGAGUUGUUUCGAAUGCCAUCGUCGUUACAAAGGCUAUUCGCAACAAUCCUGUUGUUUUGCGAGCCAAGCAACGUCCGUAGCCUCUGGAACAAACACCUAGAGUCAAUGUCAGAAGACUACAGUAGAAACUGCAAAUGCAAGCACAUGGUUGAACAGAUGGUGCUGAGAAAUAACAGGGACAUGUUGCACUCAAUGGGAAAAGACAUAAAAUCAUUUCCUCUUCCGGAGAUUGACAAACAACAUGAGACGACAGACGACAUACCUAGGGAAAUCAUCGAGGAGACCUCGAUUGAGGUGGACCCCGAGGACGCAUCUUUACAUAAAAACCUAAACAACGAGCAGAGGAAGGCCUACGAUGAAAUUCUACACACAAUUGACCGCCAAAGAGGAGGCAUAUUCUUUGUCGAUGGACCAGGAGGCAUAGGAAAACUUUUCUUUAC